GAGUACGGCCGCAAGGCUGAAACUUAAAGGAAUUGGCGGGGGAGCACUACAACGGGUGGAGCCUGCGGUUUAAUUGGACUCAACGCCGGAAAACUCACCGGGGGCGACAGCAAUAUGUAGGUCAGGUUAAAGGUCUUACCUGAAUCGCUGAGAGGAGGUGCAUGGCCGUCGUCAGUUCGUACUGUGAAGCAUCCUGUUAAGUCAGGCAACGAGCAAGACCCGUGCCCACUGUUACCAGCAUAUCCUUUAUGGAUGAUGGGGACUCUGUGGGGACCGCUGCUGCUAAAGCAGAGGAAGGUGCGGGCUACGGUAGGUCAGUAUGCCCCGAAUCUCCCGGGCUACACGCGGGCUACAAUGGUUGGGACAAUGGGCAUCUACUCCGAAAGGAGUUGACAAUCUCUUAAACCCAAUCGUAGUUCGAAUUGAGGGUUGUAACUCGCCCUCAUGAAGCUGGAAUCCGUAGUAAUCGCGUUUCAACAUAGCGCGGUGAAUCUGUCCCUGCUCCUUGCACACACCGCCCGUCAAACCAUCCGAGUGAGGUAUGGGUGAGGGCACGAACUUAGUGUCGUGCUCGAACCUAAAUUCCGCAAGGAGGGUUAAGUCGUAACAAGGUAGCCGUAGGGGAAUCUGCGGCUGGAUCACCUCCU
rnacentral:rRNA from 1 species